rnacentral:rRNA from 1 species
GGAUUGCCUUAGUAACGGCGAGUGAAGCGGCAAAAGCUCAAAUUUGAAAUCUGGCGUCUUCGACGUCCGAGUUGUAAUUUGAAGAAGGCAACUUUGUAUCUGGUCCUUGUCUAUGUUCCUUGGAACAGGACGUCAUAGAGGGUGAGAAUCCCGUGUGGCGAGGAUCCCAGUUAUUUGUAAAGUGCUUUCGACGAGUCGAGUUGUUUGGGAAUAA